rnacentral:misc_RNA from 1 species
CAGCGGCUUCGCAUUAUCUAUAACCCUACGGGCUCACCUGGCGCGGCGGAUGCGAGAGCGCAAGACCACUGCCAAGCCGUCCGCUCCUUCUUUCGCCUCCUCCAGCUCUCCCCCUUUGCACACCCGCACGCUUUACAACAGCGGGCCGGUGUGUGAGGGCUCGCGAGUGAGGCAGGCUGCAGCACAUCUCCGUACACGGACACAGGCUCACCCAUAAGCGCGUGCCAGGCGGGGGGUUGGCACGCCCAGUAGAUGGGUAGAGAGGUCGAUCAAACUACACAACUACUACCCAAACUGUAGCUCCCCCACCCAAAAGAAAAAGAAAUCAUGCGCGCCGAGAGUGUACAUCGCACGUCCUCGGUGCGCACCUCCUCAUCACACCGGAGCACCAUAGAGACUCGCGGCGCGCCAGAGUUUGAUCGUGAGUAUGCACGUCAGCUGAGCUUAGCCAAGCGCGGCCGCAACAGCAGCGUGAAGACGUCUCAGCGCGCUACAUCGGUGCAAGAGCUGCCGUCAGAGAGCCAGCUGUACGGCUCCGCUGCUCUGGCGGCCUCUCGCAUCAAAGACUACGUCGCGACGCACGUCACACCGCCUCGCAUUCCGCACUUGAGUAGCGCCAGGCGCAGCAGCGAGCACAGUGGCAAAUCUAUCGGCGCAUCAAAGGUGGGGGCGACACAUCAGCAUUCGUCGCAGGCUCUCGCAACACCGACCAGUGGGGAGGAGGGGGCGGGGUCGGAAACGCCGUUGUUCCUCAAUUCCACGCGUCGCGGCAGUGCCUUCGAUGACACGGAGGCCCCCACGGCAGCGACGACAAGCGCCGAAGCGAGUUUGCUGCUCUUCUUGAUCAAGACAAUACUUUUCGUUGGCAUUGUGUUUUUUACUGUGCUGUGCGCCAUUUCCUUCGUCGUGUCGGUCUCAGCCGACUACAACCCAUCAUACUUUGCCUUUAGCGUGGCCUCGUCGACGCCUCGGCCGCGGAUGCGCGACGGCACAGUCGGCAGACGGGGGUGGCCCGACCGACUUGUGCCCGAGUUUCACCGCCAGGUGGCGCUGCACACGCGUCGAGCACUGUGGCACGUGCUCAGCUACGUUGGCGUUCCCAGUUUUUUCCGUUUAGUUGGCUCGGUGUUGGCAGCCUCCAAGGCAUAUAUGUGGGAUCCUGUACACGCGAUGCUGCCGCGCAUCGAUCGGCAGGCGCAUCCGGUGCUUAGGUACAUCUUCUUGAACGCGACGGAGGACGGCGAGGGGUGGGGCCUCACCACCGUUAUCACUCUCGCCGCGUCGGUGGCGCGCUCCCUGGUGCAGCUCGUCGUGGAUCCUGUGCUCAUUGUCGGCCGCACCCUGCAGGCGCUGUACAGAUGGCUUGGCGGGCCAACGGCUUUGUUUUCCACCUCGCUGAAGCCGCUGCAUGCGACUCCCGGCAACAUGUCCUCUGUGGUAGCCGCAGCACAGGCGAACCGCACCUCCGUCACCACGCGCGCCGCCUCGUCAGCCCUGCUCUCGUUGUGGAGGCCGCUGCACUCGCUGUGGGGUGUGGCCAUGUCCGCCUACUCCUCUCUCGGCUACACACCGGAGCCGCGCAACUACUCCACCUCGGCAGCGACUAUAGCGAACGCGUUCACAACCCCUAACAACUCUCCACUCUCUAGCAGGAUCGAGAAGACACUGUCGAGGAAGUCGGCGGAGGGUGCCUCGUGUUUCGUCGCUGCGCAGGUCGAAGUGCGAACGGCGCACGCGCGUCGCUUAGAAGGCACGCUGUGGCCGUCGUUGCUGGACGCGCACCGUCACGAGAUGGAGGGUUUGGCGAAGGAUGACGUGUGGGAGCUGCUGCGAGGCGAAGGCGACGCAACGCGGAGAGUCGAUGUAGCGCUGCGCGCUGGCAGCCUCGUCAUAAGCAUCGUGGUAACUUCGCAAGUGACUCUGGAGAGCACUCCACGGACAGCAGGCGGUGACGUGGAGAAAACGACAGGCGCUGCGGAGUUAGCGCGUCGUGCUCAGCAGACCGCCAUGGACGCUGGGCUGCAGCAGUGGCCUUUCCCUCGCCUGCAGGCCUUCUACAACCGGGCCGUCUCAACUGCUGAGACGCAGAUGACGAGUGCAGCAACGCUUGCCGCCGCGGUCGCAGCGUGCGAGGGCCGGGUGACGGAGUGCCAGCAGCGAUGCGCAACGAUCCGGCGUAAGCUGGAGCGCGAGCUUCACAACUGCACCAGCGACGCGACCAGGCCGAAUUCGUCGCGCGUGAAUGAGAUUGAGGAAGUGACCAAGGAGUUGAGCGCGCCGCUUCGCGAGUGCAGCGAUGAGCUCGCUAAUUGCCAUGCGAGCCUCUCACGGUCCACAGCUGAUCUCGCCAAGCAGGAGAGGCGCGCGGAGCUGUGCGAACGAGAGAGUCAUGAGUCCCAGCUGACGCUCGCAGCUGCUCGGCAGGGGGCCACUGGCGCUGCUGCUGUCCUCACUGAGAGUUUCAGCAACUCUGAGGCAGAGGGGCAGCGGUGCGCCGCGAGCUUGGCGGCGGCCGCGCAAGAGUGCAAGCAGCGUGUGCGCGACACACGCAGCUCGUUGAGCGCCGACCAUGCAAAGCAGUUGACCUCUUUCAAGGAGGAGUGCGCCCGUCAACGCAGCGCGCUGGCGAAAGCGUCGUUGGAGAAGGUCAAAUCGGCAGUCCAGCGGACGGAGGCGACGUGCAACGAGCAGCUAAAGGCGAACGUGGCUGUACUCAACGAAAGCGCCGCUAGCGCCCUUGAGCGUGUUCAAGAGGCACUGACCGCCGCCAAGGCAGAAGCCGAGAAGCGCGUGGCCACCUGCGCGGAUGCUGCCGAGCAGGCCCGAGUCUCCUUUAGCGCGGAGCGCGCGCAGCUGGAUGCCUCCUGCGCAGCGCAGCUGGCGGCGCUGGGCGAAGAGACGCGCCGCACGAGCGCCGCUGCAGCGCAGAAGGCUGAGGCUGCAUGCACGGAGCGCCUUUCGAGGGAGUUAUCCGCUCUCAACAGCAGCGCGGCGACGACUGCAUCGGAGCUUCAGCGGGAGACUCUGCGAAGCGCUUCUGCGUGCGAUACGCCACGGCGGCAAGCCAGGGCGGAGUGCGAGAUGACGCUAAAGCGCGUGCGCGAGGAUUGCACUGCGCAGCUUCUUGAGGCGCGUGAGAACAGCACUGCGGCGGCGCAGCGGGCGCGGGAAGAGGAACGUGAAGCCCAGCAGCGUAUCUCUGCUAGCAAUUGGCGGCUCGAGGAGGAGCGACUCGCAGCGCAGUGUGCGGCUACGACUCAAGCGGCUGUCAGAGAGGCCUCCCAGCUGCUGGCUGCGAAGCACGCUAAGGCACAGGAGGAGGCCGCGAUCGAGGCGCGACGGCGCACGACGACGCAGCUGCGCCAAAGAGACGAGGCGUGUCGGAUGCAAAGCGAGGCGCUUCUGAAGCGCCAUCAGGCGCAAGUGCGCGAUCUUGGCGCUCAAGUCACCGUCUGCACAGCACAGCUCCAAGCUGCCGAGGCAACCCAUCAAGAAAUGGCGCUGAAGGCGCGUCAGGUGUUUCACGCGGCGAUGGCUGACAGUGCGACGGAGGCGUGCUUGGAGGCGACGCAGCACAAUCUGCAUGUCUGCGCUGACGUGCGCAAAACUGUCGAAGAAGAGCUGCACAAGUUGCCCCUCAACGCGAGCUCUGCGGACGCCGUCGCGCAGCUGCUAAAGAGCACCGUUGAGCCAGGAAGGCUCAUGUGGAAUUUCAGCGGAGCCUCGGUGUAUGCACCGAGGGGCGGCGAGACCACUGCUGCGGGUGGGUGUCAGGCGCGCUUCACUGCGUAUCUCCGCGUGUCUGGCAUACUUUUCGCUUUUCUUGCUUCUGCCUGCGUUCUGGCGAAGUGCCCGCGGGCCUGCCGCUUGUCGGAUGACAAAAUCGCGCGUCUUGACACGCUCAUAGCCGCAAGCGAGACAGCAACGACGCAACGCUCGCCAACGCUGUCGUCGCGCUCGAGGAGGAGCCGAUCUAGGCACACCGGGAGGUUUCUUGCGGACGGCGAGGCUCCUCUGAGCUAUGAUGUGUUGUUUGAGGCUUGCAUGACGAACAGCUCGGAGACUCUUCUGGCGUGGCACUCCACGUGCUGUGCUGCGUUGUUGGAGCAGGAGACGCACAGGCUGCGAGGGCGAGCGCACCAAGUGAACACGUGCCGAGACAUGUCGGCGGCGGAUGCGUACACCUCGCUCUCAGAGAGCGUGCUGGGCGACGCGCAUGCCCUCUCUCUUCUCCGCGGCGGUCCUGCCAGGAGUCUGAGCUCGGCAUCCACCCUCCCUGUCGCGCGUGAAGACGCCGGGCGGUUGCCUCAGCUGUACGCCGCCUUCAUCAAUGGCUACUAUGGCAUGCUGGAGAUGUACUACGUGGACUUGCUCAGCACUGUCGUGAACCGUGAGCUGACCACCCGUCAGCUGCAGGAUGCUAAGUCUUUGGCGGUGCGGCAGGCUUCAGCGCUGCACAAGCAGCCGGCGGUCGUGGCGCAACUCAAGCUAUCACUCGCGGAGAAGGAAAACCCUGCUAGCUUCUCGGCCAUAAAGGACAAACUCGCCAAGGCUGAACGACGCGCUGCAGCGCAGGAAGAAAUGGUCACUCUCCUCGAGAAGCAGCUGAAAAUCAGCAGAGAUGAGCUCGACAAGGCCCGUGGUGUGGUGAGCUCACCAGCGCCGUCCCCCCGCACCACGGUGGCGACCGCCACGGCGACUGCGCCGGAGAGCUCGAAGCCGCGACAGAUGCGCUCCCUGCAGGAGUUGGCCGAUGGCCACGCCGACGGCGACUCUUACAACACCUCCGACUUCUCCAAUCUGGAAAGAGAACCGGGCGCGCACCGCCAUCCUACGUCGCCGCUUCCGGUGAGUGCACAGGGCUGCCCAACCUUACCGUUGGCCGUUAAGAAGUCGACGAUGGUGCGCAAUCCCGACUCUACGCGUCGCUACCACAAGCUUCAGUGGAGCGAUGAUUUAGACAUGACAUGAUGCCGCUGCGAGGCGACGCGUCGGGGUUGAAGGUGUGAGGGUGUCGUAUGGGUUAUAACGAAAGAGUUACAUGCGCAUCGAAGCCACCGACCUCAUCCGAAGGUACGGCGAAUGCGCGCUUCUGCCCUCUUCGCCACAUUCGCAGAGAUGUAGGUGUGCAUGUGUAUAUGUGCGUGCGUGUGUAUGUGAGCGCGCGUUGGGCCAGCCGUGACGAUGAGGGCUCAUUUUCUUGUGCGAGGCCUGCGCACCGAUAUUUCACGCGUGAGUCGCUUUGGGCGCUGUUGCAUGCGUUUUGCUCCUCCCCUUUCCGUGCGCACGGGAACGAUAACGGGGCUCACACGCGCCGACAUCCACGCCGUGGAGGACGGUGCGGGCGUCUCUCUCUGUCCCCCUGUGUGCAGCUUACGGGAACGGGCAAUUGCGUCACUCCGCUCGCGCAUUCUUCUUGCUCUUUGGUCUGCGCUCCAGAGCUGGAAGCAUGCGCGCAGCUUGCAGCGGGCCUCAACGACCUUCUCUCGCAUCCUCUGAUGCGAUGCGCCGCCUGCCUUUUCGCCACUGAGCGGAGACGUGUUCGGUCUCCUUUUCUCUCGUGUUUUCAACGUUGCAGCCUUUGAUGACAGGAAGGGGGAGGCCUCCAUGCGCGGUGUCGCAGGGCCCAGUACCCCCGCCCUCUCUCUCUCUGGAGAAGCCGGGAGGCCACCCUAUCGCUGACCAAGUGCCGAACCACCUGUGGUGGUGACAGGGUCGCAGGCGCCGGCGCCGUGCUGGAGGUCCAGGCGACGUAUCGCUGCUGAUGUAGUUGGCCGGGUCCUGGCUGGGCGUUGCGUCGGGGCGACCGGCGACAGUGAACACGCGUGUGCCAUCCAUAUGAUUCGGCAGCGUGUCACCGCGUCUCGAGAGUAACCCGCCCGGGCCCCUACACCGCCCACUGGUGUGCGGGCGGGGGCAGCGGCGCCCGCGCCCAUUCCGAGAAGGGAGGGAGGCACCAGCUGGCGACCGGCGAGGCGGCGAGUGGGUGGGGUAGAGCUCGAGGGCAGGUGGCCGUGCUGGGAUGACCGGGUCGGCGCACUGCUGCAACGCGCGUGCCUUGCGCUGCUUCGCCCCACACGAUGGGGUCUGUGACAGGCCGGGUGGGGGUAGAGUAGAGUUUCACUUAUAUUUCGGGGCGGAGAACGGGCACAUUGUGGAAAG